ensembl:lncRNA
GUCAAAAAUCCAGAUAGGUGGGGCAAAGGUACAGGAUGGCAGGCAGGCUCAGGGUCAGGGUAGGCAUAGGUCAGUAAUCCAGAUAUGUGGGGCAAAGGUACAGGAUGGCAGGAAGGCUCAGGGCAGGCAUAAAAGGUCAAACUGGGAAAACUAGAGAACAGGAACACUCAAGAGACAGGAAUAUAGGUUGAAAACGCUGGUAGGCUUGACGAAACAAAACGAACUGGCAACAAACAGAGAACACAGGUAUAAAUACACAGCAGAUAAUGGGUAAGAUGGGCGACACCUGGAGGGGGGUAUAGUCAAUCACAAAGAUGAUGGUGAAACAGAUCAGGGUGUGACAACAAACCACUGUUAUUAGUCCAGGGACCUCGCCUGUCCAAACUACGGCAGUUACUUUUGUAUAUUUUUUUAUUUGGCUGUUUUCAAAUAAUGUAUUUUCUUAAAGUAUGAAAAAUGCUUGUUUAAAAUGUCAAAAGUUUCCACCCAUAUCACGUGCAUGAAUUCAACCAAAUGUCAUUGGUUCAGGGACCUCGUCAAUAAAAUCUAAGGCAAUAUGUUUGACAUAUAAUGAAAUUAAAUAAAUAGAAAAUAGCCAAAGUCAAAAAAUACAGAUGUAAAUUGCCGUAUAUUGUGCAGACAAGGUCCCUGAACCAAAAACAGAUGGUUAUAUUCAUAUGGUGUUGAAGGUAACUUUUAAGCAAGUAUUUUUUACAUUUAUUUUACCUUUAUUUAACUAGGCAAGUCAGUUAAGAACAAAUUCUUAUUUUCAAUAACGCCCUAGGAACAGUGGGUUAACUGCCUUGUUCGGGGGCAGAAUGACAGAUUUUUACCUUGUCAGCUUGGGGAUUCAAUCUUGCAACCUUUGGUUACUAGUCCAACGCUCUAACCACUAGGCUACCUGCCGCCCCAUAAUUAAAUAUAUUUAAAUUACAUUAGCCAAAGUCAAAUCAUACAAAAGUAAUUUCCGGGGAUUGGAGCGGCAGGUCCCUGAACAUUUUACAGUUGGUUUGAGAUUUCUAUGUCAUAUGGUUACACAGCUAUUGAAGUUUUGCAGUUAACACUAGAUUUCAAUUGCACUUUUAACAUGGUCCCUCAGCUGCGACGACACAGAGAAUGAGCCAUAGAAAUUAAAGUUAAAUACUUUUUGGAAAGCGGAACCAAACAGCAAAAACAAGGGGUGUAACUUGUUCCCCGUCGUCAGCUGAUUUAGAAUAUAACAUGCAUAUCAUCCUGACAUAUUCCGUUGAAGAGGUAUUGAUGAGCAAAGUCAAAAUAUGUAAUAUAAAGCGAACUUCACCGCACUGCCUGCCAAUCCAUGCUUAUCCCAACCCACGUUUUGACAACUGAAUGGGAACUUGCCUGACUGCCCGCCCAUUUCAUAAAUGCCAAAUACAUUUGAUUGACAGCUAAAGGAUACGCUAAUUGUGGAUAACAGUUGUUCACGUUCAGUAUAGCUAGAUAGCAACGUGAUUCACAUUGCUUGCUAGCUAACCAAAUGACACCUGCAUCUCCUAGCUGUAGCCACAGAAAAAGACAGCCAUUCACCCACUCGUCCGAUGAC